rnacentral:lncRNA from 1 species
GAGACUGCCAGAAAAGAAACAGAGUCAUGAUAGUUGUACCUCUAUUUCCCUAAGUACUAUCUAAGUAUAUUUCUUCCUAUGGACACCCACUUCCAGAUUCUACUUCUGCAGGGUUCCACAGAAGUCUCCAAUCUUUAAAUCUUCAGUGUAUGAAAGCACAGAUUCCUGAAAGAAUGGCCUCAAAUGACCAGGAGUAGGAGCUCUCUAUAUCCCUGCUCCUGAAAAACAAGCUAACUGGAGUCUCCAUCACCUGCCACCAGCUAUACACACUACCAACUACCCAACUGAACUCCAUGACUGAUUUUCCAGCUAAUCAUGCCCCUGACCCAGCCCACAUGGACAUGGGAAGGACAUCAGUGAACUGUGAAAAGAGGCAGAGACUCACUCCCGUUUGUA